UGCAAGCGUUAUCCGGAUUUAAUUGGGUUUAAAGGGUGCGUAGGCUGAAAAUUAAGUCAGUGGUGAAAAUCCUGCAGCUUAACUGUAGAAUUGUCAUUGAUACUGGUUUUCUUGAAUACAGUUGAGGUAGGCGGAAUGAGUAAUGUAGCGGUGAAAUGCUUAGAUAUUACUCAGAACACCAAUUGCGAAGGCAGCUUACUAAACUGUGAUUGACGCUGAGGCACGAAAGCGUGGGGAGCGAACAGGAUUAGAUACCCUGGUAGUCCACGCCGUAAACGAUGAUCACUCGUUGUUGGCAAUACACCGUCAGCGACUGAGCGAAAGUAUUAAGUGAUCCACCUGGGGAGUACGAUUGCAAGAUUGAAACUCAAAGGAAUUGACGGGGGCCCGCACAAGCGGAGGAACAUGUGGUUUAAUUCGAUGAUACGCGAGGAACCUUACCUGGGCUUAAAUGCAUAACGACGGAUCGGGAAACUGGUCUUUCUUCGGACGGAAUGCAAGGUGCUGCAUGGCUGUCGUCAGCUCGUGCCGUGAGGUGUCGGGUUAAGUCCCAUAACGAGCGCAACCCUCAUCAUUAGUUGCCAGCGGGUAAUGCCGGGGACUCUAAUGAAACUGCCGGUGUAAACCGAGAGGAAGGCGAGGAUGACGUCAAGUCAGCACGGCCCUUAUGUCCAGGGCUACACACGUGUUACAAUGGUCAGUACAAAGGGCAGCUACCAGGCAACUGGAUGCUAAUCUCAAAAGCUGGUCACAGUUCGGAUCGGAGUCUGCAACUCGACUUCGUGAAGUUGGAUUCGCUAGUAAUCGCGCAUCAGCCAUGGCGCGGUGAAUACGUUCCCGGGCCUUGUACACACCGCCCGUCAAGCCAUGGAAGCCGGGGGUACCUGAAGUUCGUAACCGAGAGGAUCGACCU
rnacentral:rRNA from 1 species